rnacentral:rRNA from 1 species
UACGUAGGUGGCAAGCGUUAUCCGGAAUUACUGGGCGUAAAGGGUCCGCAGGUGGAAGGGUCAGUCUGGUGUGACAGCCCCCGGCUUAACUGGGGGUGGGCAUUGGAAACUGCCUAUCUUGAGUCACGGAGAGGGGUGCGGAAUUCCGGGUGUAGUGGUGGAAUGCGUAGAGAUCCGGAGGAACACCGAAGGCGCAAGCAGCACCCUGGCCGAGGACUGACACUGAGGGACGAAAGUAUGGGGAGCAAAC